rnacentral:rRNA from 1 species
UACGUAGGUGGCAAGCGUUGUCCGGAAUUAUUGGGCGUAAAGCGCGCGCAGGCGGUCCUUUAAGUCUGAUGUGAAAGCCCACGGCUCAACCGUGGAGGGUCAUUGGAAACUGGGGGACUUGAGUGCAGAAGAGGAAAGCGGAAUUCCACGUGUAGCGGUGAAAUGCGUAGAGAUGUGGAGGAACACCAGUGGCGAAGGCGGCUUCCUGGCCUGUUCUUGACGCUGAGGCGCGAAAGCUAGGGGAGCAAACGGG